AGUGAACGCUGGCGGCGUGCCUAACACAUGCAAGUCGAACGAUGAUGGAUGAGCUUGCUCAUCCUGAUUAGUGGCGCACGGGUGAGUAUACCAUAGAUAAUGUACCCCUUAGUUCGGGAUAGCCACUGGAAACGGCGAUUAAUACCGGAUACUCCUUCUUGCCAUAAGGUAAGUCGGGAAAGUUUUUUCGCUAAGGGAUCAGUCUAUGUCCUACCAGGUAGUUGGUGAGGUAACGGCUCACCAAGCCUGUGACGGGUAUCUGGUUUGAGAGGAUGAUCAGACACACUGGAACUGAGACACGGUCCAGACUCCUACGGGAGGCAGCAGUGAGGAAUAUUGCACAAUGGAGGAAACUCUGAUGCAGCAACGCCGCGUGGAGGAUGACGCAUUUCGGUGUGUAAACUCCUUUUAAGAGGGAAGAUUAUGACGGUACCUCUUGAAUAAGCACCGGCUAACUCCGUGCCAGCAGCCGCUGUAACAC
rnacentral:rRNA from 1 species